UAGCAAUGCCAAGAGAGG
rnacentral:piRNA from 1 species